AUUUUAAAACGGACGCACACAGGAAAGUCGUCGGACGUUCUUCUAGAAAUAUUUUAACCGCGUUUUGUGUUAAUCUCUUUCACUUCACGUGUUGCUAGAGAAGCGCGAUGUCGGCGCACAAGACGUUCAUUAUCAAGCGAAAGCUUGCCAAAAAGCUGAAGCAAAACAGACCGAUUCCACAAUGGGUGAGAAUGCGGACCGGUAAUACCAUCCGAUACAAUGCCAAGAGACGUCACUGGAGGAGAACUAAGUUGAAGUUGUAAAUCAUGUCUAUUAAUACAACUUCACAUUAGCAUUAUAUCAACAGUGUACAAUCUAAAACUAAUUGCAGACACAUUUCCUUAUGUAUUUUAAGGAAACUGGAUAUCUGUAAUAUAUCCAACAUUCUGACAGUGAAAAUAAAAUUAAACUGUUAAAGUAAAAA